rnacentral:rRNA from 1 species
UGGGGAAUUUUGGACAAUGGGGGAAACCCUGAUCCAGCCAUCCAGCGUGUGCGAUGAAGGCAUUCGGGUGGUAAAGCACUUUUGGCAGGAAAGAAACGUCAUGGGUUAAUACCCCGUGAAACUGACGGUACCUGCAGAAUAAGCACCGGCUAACUACGGGCGAGCAGCCGCGGUAAUACGUAGGGUGCAAGCGUUAAUCGGAAUAACUGGGCGUAAAGCGUGCGCAGGCGGUUCGGAAAGAAAGAUGUGAAAUCCCAGAGCUCAACUUGGGAACUGCAUUUUUAACUACCGGGCUAGAGUGUGUCAGAGGGGGGUGGAAUUCCGCGUGUAGCAGUGAAAUGCGUAGAUAUGCGGAGGAACACCGAUGGCGAAGGCCGCCUCCUGGGAUAACACUGACGCUCAUGCACGAAAGCGUGGGGAGCAAACAGG